rnacentral:rRNA from 1 species
GGCAGUGGCGGACGGGUGAGGAGCGCGUAGGGAUUUGUCGUUGGGUGGGGGACAACCGCGGGAAACUGCGGCUAAUACCGCAUGACGCCUGUGGGCCAAAGCCUUUUGGGGUGCCUGACGAGGAGCCUGCGUCCGAUUAGCUAGUUGGUUGGGUAAUGGCUGACCUAGGCGAUGAUCGGUAGCUGGUCUGAGAGGAUGAUCAGCCACACUGGGACUGAGACACGGCCCAGACUCCUACGGGAGGCAGCAGUGGGGAAUAUUGGACAAUGGGCGCAAGCCUGAUCCAGCAAUGCCGCGUGGAUGAAGAAGGUUUUCGGAUUGUAAAGUCCUUUCGGCGGGGACGAUGAUGACGGUACCCGCAGAAGAAGCCCCGGCUAACUUCGUGCCAGCAGCCGCGGUAAUACGAAGGGGGCUAGCGUUGCUCGGAAUGACUGGGCGUAAAGGGCGCGUAGGCGGACCUGUCAGUCAGGCGUGAAAUUCCUGGGCUUAACCUGGGGGCUGCGUUUGAGACGGUGGGUCUGGAGUUUGGAAGAGGGUCGUGGAAUUCCCAGUGUAGAGGUGAAAUUCGUAGAUAUUGGGAAGAACACCGGUGGCGAAGGCGGCGACCUGGUCCUGGACUGACGCUGAGGCGCGAAAGCGUGGGGAGCAAACAGGAUUAGAUACCUGGUAGUCCACGCUGUAAACGAUGUGCGCUGGAUGUUGGGCGGCCUAGCCGUUCAGUGUCGUAGCCAACGCGGUAAGCGCACCGCC